rnacentral:rRNA from 1 species
GAGCCCGCGUUCCAUUAGCUAGUUGGUGAGGUAAAAGCUUACCAAGGCGACGAUGGGUAGCCGACCUGAGAGGGUGAUCGGCCACACUGGAACUGAGACACGGUCCAGACUCCUACGGGAGGCAGCAGUGGGGAAUAUUGCGCAAUGGACGAAAGUCUGACGCAGCGACGCCGCGUGGAGGAUGAAGGUUUUCGGAUCGUAAACUCCUGUCAAGAGGGAAGAAACCUGUUGAGAAUAAUACUCUCAGCAAUUGACGGUACCUCUAGAGGAAGCACCGGCUAAUUCAGUGCCAGCAGCCGCGGUAAUACUGAAGGUGCAAGCGUUAAUCGGAAUCACUGGGCGUAAAGCGCUCGUAGGUGGCUUUGUAAGUCAGAUGUGAAAGCCCAGGGCUCAACCCUGGAAUUGCAUUUGAUACUGCAUCGCUAGAGUAUAGGAGAGGGAAGUGGAAUUUCUGGUGUAGGAGUGAAAUCCGUAGAGAUCAGAAGGAACACCCGUGGCGAAGGCGACUUCCUGGACUAUUACUGACACUGAGGAGCGAAAGCGUGGGGAGCAAACAGGAUUAGAUACCCUGGUAGUCCACGCCGUAAACGAUGGAUACUAGGUGUCGGGG